AUGUGCCACUCAUACACUGCGUUUCCUGGCACGCCGUCCGCACUAUCUGACCACUCGCGACGUUUUGUUGGUC
rnacentral:sRNA from 1 species